GAUAAACGCUGGCGGCGUGCCUAAUGCAUGCAAGUCGCACGGAGUCAUCUUUCGGGGUGAUUGAGUGGCGAACGGGUGAGGAACGCGUGGACAACCUACCCCGGCGUGGGGAGUACCCGCCAGAAAUAGGCGGCUAAUACCGCGUACGGUCCAGGGCGGAUGGGCUCCCUGGAAGAAAGCAGCGAUGCGCGCUGGGAGGGGUCUGCGGCCGAUUAGCUGGUUGGCGGGGUAACGGCCCACCAAGGCGAUGAUCGGUAGCUGGUCUGAGAGGAUGAUCAGCCACAC
rnacentral:rRNA from 1 species